rnacentral:rRNA from 1 species
GACGAACGCUGGCGGCGUGCCUAAUACAUGUAAGUAGAACGCUGAAGGAGGAGCUUGCUUCUCUGGAUGAGUUGCGAACGGGUGAGUAACGCGUAGGUAACCUGCCUGGUAGCGGGGGAUAACUAUUGGAAACGAUAGCUAAUACCGCAUAAUAGUAGAUGUUGCAUGACAUUUGCUUAAAAGGUGCAAUUGCAUCACUACCAGAUGGACCUGCGUUGUAUUAGCUAGUUGGUGGGGUAACGGCUCACCAAGGCGACGAUACAUAGCCGACCUGAGAGGGUGAUCGGCCACACUGGGACUGAGACACGGCCCAGACUCCUACGGGAGGCAGCAGUAGGGAAUCUUCGGCAAUGGACGGAAGUCUGACCGAGCAACGCCGCGUGAGUGAAGAAGGUUUUCGGAUCGUAAAGCUCUGUUGUAAGAGAAGAACGAGUGUGAGAGUGGAAAGUUCACACUGUGACGGUAGCUUACCAGAAAGGGACGGCUAACUACGUG